rnacentral:rRNA from 1 species
GACGAACGCUGGCGGCGUGCUUAACACAUGCAAGUCGAACGGAAAGGCCCUGCUUUUGUGGGGUGCUCGAGUGGCGAACGGGUGAGUAACACGUGAGUAACCUGCCCUUGACUUUGGGAUAACUUCAGGAAACUGGGGCUAAUACCGGAUAGGAGCUCCUGCUGCAUGGUGGGGGUUGGAAAGUUUCGGCGGUUGGGGAUGGACUCGCGGCUUAUCAGCUUGUUGGUGGGGUAGUGGCUUACCAAGGCUUUGACGGGUAGCCGGCCUGAGAGGGUGACCGGCCACAAUGGGACUGGGAUACGGCCCAGGCUCCUACGGGAGGCAGCAGUGGGGAAUAGUGCACAAAGGGCGGAAGCCUGAAGCAGCAACGCCGCGUGCGGGAUGACGGCCUUCGGGUUGGAAACCGCUUUCGCCUGUGACGAAGCGUGAGUGACGGUAAUGGGUAAAGAAGCACCGGCUAACUACGUG